GCUCAGCCCUUAACACAGACAAUACAAACACAAUAUUGUCCGCCAGAGAACUACAAGUGAAAAACUAGAAACUCCAAGGACUUGGCGGUGCCCCACACCAACCUAGAGGAGCCUGUCCUAUAAUCGAUAAUCCACGCUAUACCCUACCAUUUCUCGCAACUUCAGCCUAUAUACCGCCGUCGAAAGCCUACCUUAUGAAAGAAACAAAGUAAGCAAAAUAGUCAACAACUAAAACGUCAGGUCAAGGUGUAGCACAUGAAAUGGAAGAGAUGGGCUACAUUUUCUACCCCAGAAAACACGAACAGCACAAUGAAACACGUACUCAAAGGCGGAUUUAGCAGUAAGACAAAAAAGAAACUUUGCCUAAAACCUGCUCUGGGA
rnacentral:rRNA from 1 species